rnacentral:rRNA from 1 species
UACGUAGGGGGCAAGCGUUGUCCGGAUUUAUUGGGCGUAAAGAGCGUGUAGGCGGCCAUGUAGGUCCGUUGUGAAAACUCGAGGCUCAACCUCGAGACGCCGAUGGAAACCAUGUGGCUAGAGUCCGGAAGAGGAGAGUGGAAUUCCGUGGUGUAGCGGUGAAAUGCGCAGAUAUCAGGAAGAACACCCGUGGCUAAGGCGGCUCUCUAGUACGGUACUGACGCUGAGACGCGAAAGCGUGGGGAGCAAACAGG